rnacentral:rRNA from 1 species
CGAACGGGUGAGUAAUACGUAGGAACCUGUCUCACAGUGGGGGGAUAACGUUGGGAAACCGACGCUAAUACCGCAUAUGGUCCUCGCAAGAGGAAGAAAGCAGCAAUGCGCUGUGAGAGGGGCCUAUGUCCGAUUAGCUUGUUGGUAGGGUAAAGGCUUACCAAGGCGACGAUCGGUAGCUGGUCUGAGAGGAUGGUCAGCCACACUGGGACUGAGACACGGCCCAG